AUUUCCUGAGACGUAUUUGUUGGUAAUGCAUUUUCUCAAUUAACAAACUCGUUGUCUACUGAUUAGUACCAGGAGGAGGAUGCUAAGUCCCCUCCUGGCCACUUCCCCCCACCCGACGGUCGCUUCCGCCACAUCCACGUCGACCUUGUGGGCCCUUUACCACCGUCCCGAGACCAACGCUACUUACUAACCAUUGUCGACCGUUACACCCGCUGGCCUGAGGCCGUCCCCAUCAGUGACAUCACGGCGGAUACCGUAGCCCGCGCCCUCGUUUCAACUUGGAUCGCCCGUUACGGCUGUCCCACGCGCAUCACCACAGACCAGGGCCGACAAUUCCAGAGUGCCCUUUUCAAGAACCUGAUGGCUCUCCUCGGUGUUCACCAUAUCAGCACCACGGCAUACCACCCUUCCUCCAACGGCCUCGUCGAGCGCUUUCAUCGUCAGCUGAAAGCUUCGCUCAUCGCUCGCGAGGCCCAAACCAGCUGGGUGGAUCACUUGCCUGUUGUCAUGCUGGGCAUCCGUUCGGCCUUCAAGGAGGACCUCUCCUGCACCGCAGCCGAGCUGGUUUACGGGACGACACUGCGUCUUCCUGGUGACUUUUGGAGCGAUCCCGACGGCGUACGUUCUCUUCCCCAGGCCGAGUACGUCCAGCAGCUCCGGCGUUUCUUUCGUGGCCUGGCGCCGGUUCCCUCCAGGACGCCGCCCCCCUCCAAAGUUUUCCUCCACCCCGACCUCAACACGAGCACCCACGUGUUCCUGCGCCAUGAUGCUGUGCGGAAGCCGCUCUCGCCACACUACGAUGGCCCGUACCGUGUUCUCUCCCGAAACAGCAAGACCUUCACCAUCGACAUCGCGGGCCAGCGCCAAGUCGUCUCGCUGGACCGCCUCAAGCCGGCCUACCUUGCAGCCGUCGCCCCCGCUCCCCCACUCGCUCUCGAGGACUCUUCCCCCGCCUUAUCUCCUCCGAAGCCUCGUCGUAGAGUUACUUGGGCAGCUCCACUUCGUGUCCCCAGCCCCACGUCGCCUCCACUCUGAGGGGGGGGGGGAGCCCUGUAGCGGCCGCAGGUCGGCGCCACCGGAAGGUACGCGCCAAAAAUAAACGCUGGCGCGCUCACGGGCUCGAGUUCUUAGCGAGCCGAGUGCAGUCUGAUUCUGUUGCCUCCUAAGCUGUCUGCCUGUCUACUUCUCUCCGCGACAAGCCACAAAGUAAAGGCAGACGUUUUGUCUUUAAUAUUUAGCAAGCUGCACUGCACACUACUUGUCACAGAUAAGCCCGUGCAUGGAAGCACCCAACCUAAGAAAGCAGAUGAAGUACUGUAUCGUUGACUUCGUUGAAGAGGGGACUGUUGAACUUGUCCCGGCAACUUGGGUAGCUGGCAACUAGUGCUACUGGCCACCUGGACCAGGUGAUAAAAAAAUAUGCAUUAAACGAUGUGUGAUACCAGGACAGGAUUGGAGAAGGUAUAAAGUAGCAGUAAAGGGAACGUUCGACAAAUACGAAGAUGGGUGUCGAAAACUUGAUCGUGCUCAAUACACAUCCGACCUGGAAUCUAGUCACGAGGCAAGGAAAAGAAAAGUGAAGAAGCCUAAAAAAUAUGAUGACAUAUAUGACGCACCUGUGCCGCCUCUCAUGUUUCGCCGGAGCUCAGCAUCAUCCUCAGCUGACAUUGUUGAACCUGACGAAGAUGACACUGUGUUGUCCAGAACCUCAAACACCAGCAUAGAUGAUAUCACUCAUAGUCCAACGGUUUGCGAAGACAACUUUGGAAGCUCAAGCAUAAAAGGACGCAGUUCAAGUUCUACCGACAGAAGCUGCCCCCGAGCUACUGAGCAGCAACUACCAACACAGUCAGUAAAAAAACUGUCUCCAGAUGGUUAGUAGUUGGUUUUCCUUCUGCCUAGGGAUGUUGGUCGGUUGGUGCAUUGUGAAUUCAAAAAUUCACAGUGCCUGUCGCAGCAGGCCUUGUCAAUAUGCUAUAUGAGCCGUAAUAUGCCCUAGCGUGGAAGUCCUGGAUUAAGUCUACCUUUUGCCAGUUAUUGAUAAUUCUUAUCGAUU